rnacentral:misc_RNA from 1 species
AACGCACAUUGCGCCCGCCGGUAUCCCGGCGGGCAUGCCUGUCCGAGCGUCAUUGCAACCCUCAGGUCCUCGCGCCUGGUGUUGGGGCCCUGCGCGGCAGGCCCCGAAAGACAGCGGCGGGUGCGUCCCGGAACCGAACGCAGUAGUUACCUCUCGUUCCGGCCCAGGGCGCGCUCCAGCCGUAAAACGCUCCAACUUUUCUCAAGUUGACCUCGGAUCAGGUAGGAAUACCCGCUGAACUUAA